rnacentral:lncRNA from 1 species
CUGGGGUGCACAGAUACAUGUAGCCACAGAAUACUAUGCAGACACCGCCAGCACACAGAUGCGCAGGCACAGGACCAGCCCCAGACUCACCUGGCCCUCAGGUGUGCAGCUCACGGUGUGCAGCUCCCACAGGCAACUUUGGGGACAGCUUCAGGGUACUGUGUUGGGACUGGGACAUUGUCAGGGUGCUCAGAGUGGGCGUGUUCCCUGGGUCUUGGUGGAUUUAGAGGUCGAGGGACCAUUUCUGGAAGCUCACUGUGUGCCAGGGGAGCUUAUAUCAGAGAUUU